AGUUUGAUCAUGGCUCAGAUUGGUGCUGGCGGGAUGCUUUACACAUGCAAGUCGAACGGCAGCACGGACUUCGGUCUGGUGGCGAGUGGCGAACGGGUGAGUAAUGUAUCGGAACGUGCCUAGUAGCGGGGGGAUAACUACGCGAAAGCGUAGCUAAUACUGCAUACGCCCUUCGAGGAAAGCGGGGGACCUUCGGGCCUCGCACUAUUAGAGCGGCCGAUAUCGGAUUAGCUAGUUGGUGGGGUAACGGCUCACCAAGGCAGCGAUCGUAGCUGGUUUGAGAGGACGACCAACCACACUGGGACUGAGACACGGCCCAGACUCCUACGGGAGGCAGCAGUGAAAUUUUGGACAAUGGAAGCCACAGUCAGCCAUCCCGCGUGUGCGAUGAAGGCCUUCCGGAUUUGUAAAGCACUUUUGGCAGGAAAGAAACGGCAUAAUACCCCAUUAUUAUUACCUGCAGAAUA
rnacentral:misc_RNA from 1 species